rnacentral:tRNA from 1 species
GGCGGGUUGGCUCAGUCGUUAGAGCUUAGGUCUCGUAAUCGAAUGGUCGCGGGAUCAAAUCCGGCUAGCGGCUG